CUUGCACUAAUCAGGGUUGUAUAGGACACUAGUAUACAUAAAAGAAGCACAUUAAGUCAACAGGUUUUCCUCUAAGACUUAGGAUGAUUCAAAAUGAGAAAGUAAAAUUUAGCUCAGAUGUAAAGAAUGUAAAUAUCUGCUUGGCCAUUCAUUGGGCUGAGAUAAUGAACAGAAACUCAAGCUAGAAAGUUAAUGGGAAAUAAUAUUUUUUCUGAAGGGCAUGCUGCAGUAGAAUAUAAUAACCAUCCCCUGUUUUGCGUGUCUGCUCUCUAACUCAGUGAAAAAUUUUGUUCUCUAAGAUCAUAUACUGUUAGAACCUUGCUGUUGACAUUUUAUCAGUAAGAAUUAAACAGCCUGCUUUUGCUUGAAGGAUUUAAGUCACUUUGACACAAAGAAGCAGCUUCAAUUUCCAACCUAAGAGGAAAGUCUUCAUUUUAGAGGCUCCUGAAUACAACAGUCCACAUCCAGUAACUUUGCUGUUUUCAAGAAACAGGAUCCUGAGACUAUGCUUUAGUCCAUAUCUGAUGUGAACUUCUUUAUAAACAGCCCUGCUUUGAAUGUAUCAAAACACUACUUCCUUUAAAUUUCAUUUAAGUCCACAUCCUUGUCCCAGAUUUUAUAACUCUUUCUGUAUUUCCAGAGACAUCCCACACAAUUCCUCUGUUGUGCAGUUUCCCUCACUGGUAUGGAUCAAUAAUCCUGCUCUGUCUGAAUACAGGUUUGUCCCUGCUGGUCUUGGGCUGGACAGGUUAGGACAAGAGGCAUCAAAGUCUAGUCAAGGUUCAUUCCAAUGGAGUAGGAAGUCUUUCGGGCAAUUAAAAUUUAUUAAGAAAAGUAGGGUUCAGCAGCAUAAGUUAUGUGAACCAGAAAUGCCACAAAAACAGUCCAACAGCAUUUUACUCACCACCCUAAGUAGUGCGCAUGUGUGUGUGGGCGUUUGCCUGUGUGUAUGUCUGUGUGUGUGUGAGAUACUAUUCUCUACCAGAAGGAACCACGGUUCCUUGAAGUGUAGUUGAUUGCAUUACCUAUGACAAGAAAAAAAUCAAGAUUGGCUGGAAACCCUUGUUGCCAGAAAUAAAGAAUGCUUCAAAAAAUCUUGUGCAGGUGUAAAGAAAGGAGUAGGCUCACAGGGGCCACACUGGGGUAAUUUGAGCAUCAAAAGGAGGAUAAUUAUAGUUAACAGAAUUGAGACUAUAAUGAUAUCCAAAAUGGGAAGAGAUAAACUGUACAAAUCCAUAGUUGUAAAAAAAAUUAGGAAUGUAUCAUGUUUUUAAAAUUAAUUUUAAGUCCACAUAUGAGGGUUUUUUUUUUUUUUUUUGAGUAUGUUAAGAACAUACACUAGGGAACCGUUACCAAUUACAGGAAGAGGUGAUUAGCACCAGUGAGCACACAUACAACCGGUAAAGGGAAGGUCCAACAGUGUUCGAAAAUGAGAUUAAUCAAAUGUCUGACUCCACAAAGCUCCUUCAGAUAGUAACGUGAUGCUAAUAAGGCAUGCAAAAUUUCCCAAUACUGUUAAUAGACUAUCUAUGUAAAUGUCUAUCUAAUGGUAACACAUAGAACAAUCACUCAAAUCUCUAAAAAGUCAUUUUAGGGAAAGAUGGUGCUACAGGAGAUGUAGGCGGCUGGGCAUCACAGAUUCUUGUACCGCUAUUCCUGUAAGGGCUGAGGUGCCUUCAUAGUAUUUUUAACCAAUCCACGUUAUCUGGAAAGCCUUUCAUUUUGCCAAUGAAUUUUUCUAACAUAGUUUAUGCUAAUAAAUAUCCUCUAGUGAAAGUGAAGAUUAUAGCGGCUGAAGUAAAUGCCUGUUGACACGUCUAAUAUUUUUGAGGCCCUUUUGUUGUGAGAAGAUCAUGUAGUUAGAAUGUCCGGUCAAGUAAAUAUAAUCAAUGACAACGCUGACAAUAAGGACACAGGCACAAAACUUCUGAAAAAUACAUAAGUCAUAUGAAGAGGUAACAAUGCAAGGUAAUGAGCGAGGUGGAAGUUACAAAAGUUAUGGAAAGUAGUUUCUGUUACUUUACAGGUUCUGAGGGUUUCUACAACAGCUUUUGACAGGCACGAAUCAUUAAGUCUGACCCCGUCUUCAUUUGCUACCAAAUCACCUUGGUGAGGACUACAAUUCCCAGAACGCAACGCUCUGCUCCCUUGACUCCGCUUCCUUAGCCGGCCGGGAGGUGUAGUUUACAGAACGACGUCUUCGACUCGAGUUUUACGCACUUGUCAGCAAGGACUCAGCCGUAAAGGCCUCUUUCCAUCCGGGUCUUUCCAUUUUCGGAGGUAGCUCGGAUUGCGGAGCCUAAUCUUGGCUCCAGGCUGGGCAGGAAGUUGGCGGAUGGUCGGCUGACGAGGCGCUCUAGGCCGAGCGGUUUUCGUCUCUAUGACCACAGGAGGCGGUCUCCGGUGUCCCGAGGAGGGCGCUUGGAGGGGGCGUGCGUCAGUUCCGCGCGGGGCUGUCGGGGAACCAUGGCUGCCCCAAGAGAAAAUGUCAGUUUAUUAUUCAAGUUAUACUGCUUGGCAGUGAUGACCCUGGUGGCUGCAGCUUAUACAAUAGCUUUAAGAUACACAAGGACAUCAGACAGAGAACUCUACUUUUCAACCACAGCCGUGUGUAUCACAGAAGUUAUAAAGUUAUUGCUAAGUGUGGGAAUUUUAGCUAAAGAAACUGGUAGUCUGGGUAGAUUCAAGGCGUCUUUAAGAGAAAAUGUCUUGGGGAGCCCCAAGGAACUGAUGAAGUUAAGUGUGCCAUCAUUAGUGUAUGCUGUUCAGAACAAUAUGGCUUUCCUAGCUCUUAGCAAUCUGGAUGCAGCAGUAUACCAGGUGACCUAUCAGUUGAAGAUUCCCUGCACUGCUUUAUGUACUGUUUUAAUGUUAAACAGGACACUCAGCAAAUUACAGUGGAUUUCAGUUUUUAUGCUAUGUGGUGGAGUCAUACUUGUACAGUGGAAACCAGCUCAAGCUACAAAAGUUGUGGUGGAACAGAACCCAUUGUUAGGGUUUGGCGCUAUAGCUAUUGCUGUAUUGUGCUCAGGAUUUGCAGGAGUGUACUUUGAAAAAGUUUUAAAGAGUUCAGACACUUCCCUCUGGUUCUUGCAAGUGUUGGAGGCCUCUACACUUCUGUUGUGGUCAAGUACACAGACAACAUCAUGAAGGGCUUUUCUGCAGCAGCAGCCAUUGUCCUUUCUACCAUCGCUUCAGUGAUGCUAUUUGGGUUGCAGAUAACACCCACCUUUGCUCUGGGUACUCUUCUUGUAUGUGUUUCUAUAUAUCUCUAUGGAUUACCCAGACAAGACACUACAUCCAUCCAACAGGGAGAAACAACUUCAAAAGAGAGAGUUAGUGGUGUGUGAUUUCAGCCUCAAAAGACUCUUACCAAGACAAAAACUGUUUGCAUUAAACUAGAGCCUUAAGUCAAUCCGAGAAGGUAGCUUA